rnacentral:rRNA from 1 species
GUAGGUCCCGAGCGUUGUCCGGAUUUAUUGGGCGUAAAGCGAGCGCAGGCGGUUUGAUAAGUCUGAAGUUAAAGGCUGUGGCUCAACCAUAGUUCGCUUUGGAAACUGUCAAACUUGAGUGCAGAAGGGGAGAGUGGAAUUCCAUGUGUAGCGGUGAAAUGCGUAGAUAUAUGGAGGAACACCGGUGGCGAAAGCGGCUCUCUGGUCUGUAACUGACGCUGAGGCUCGAAAGCGUGGGGAGCGAACAGGAUUAGGUACCCUGGUAGUCCACGCCGCAAACGAUGAGUGCUAGGUGUUGGAUCCUUUCCGGGAUUCAGUGCCGAAGCUAACGCAUUAAGCACUCCGCCUGGGGAGUACGACCGCAAGGUUG